UGCUUAGACCUGAAGGGGCAAAUAGAAGCACCGAUCUGCAAGGAGAGGCUGUCCCGAUUUGUGGCCGAACAAAAGAACAAGACGAAUUGCAGAAGGAUGCCCGGGAGCGAAUUAGAGAGAUAAAGGUGAUCGUUGGAGGAUAUGCAGGGGGAGACAGAUUUGCUCGGCCAGAAAGCGCAUUCACGAAAGUUACAAACACAUGAGGUAUGUGUGGCAACUGGGCCUAGGAAGAUCCAAAAGAAAGAAGAAUCGGACAUCAUUUUCACAAACAACGAUGCUCCCCACGACGACCCCCUAGUGGUGACGCUCAUAAUAGCAAACUACAGGAUAAGAAGAUAGUAAUUGACAACGGAAGCUUGACAGACAUCCUCUUUACCAGCGCAUUUGAUAAGUUCAGCAUUGAAAAGAACCAAUUUCUGCCUGUUAGAUUGUCGUUGGUCAGAUUUUCCAGAUCCAGACAAGGUAUAGCUGGUUGGCUCACUCAAAUUA
rnacentral:lncRNA from 1 species